GUAAAUUACUCUUCCAUGCACUUGAGCAUCACUGGUGCAAAUCCCAACUAGAAUCGGAUUUCUGAAGCUAUAAAUCAGCCCUGCGUUCUUUUAUCACCAGACUUUCCCUAGCCAAACAAACAUACUUUACUAAACUCAUUAACUCCCUUUCUAAAAAAAACCUGCACGACUUUUCUCUUAAUACUUUUCUUUCCCCUUCCCCACCCCCAUCAGUGCACAUCUGUCCAAGAUAUUGCUGCACACUUCAAAAAAAAAACAAAUUGACACCAUAAUCUCAUAGUUAAAAUGGGCCGGCUUGCUCGCAAUAUUGGCUCUGCCUCUGCUCCGAUCGUAGCUUCAGACUUCAGCUCCUGCUUGUGUCUUCCGUCUCCAGGCUACGUUGGGGAGAGCAAGCAGGGGGGCAGGAAGUCCGUCAUUUCAUUUGAUUUAGUGGGAAGCACAGAGAGCCUCGCAGUGGGGAUUUUUUUCUCUUCGCUCUCUCCACCCCCUUCAUUGUAUAAUUAUUCUCCUUCCCGGCCAGGCACUGGCUUAAUCACGCAGCCUGACAGACAUAUGGAGCUGCUGCUACAUUAGGGGAAGGACGUCCCUGAUACAUUACACCGCAGGUGCAAGUGCAUGGAGUAAAAGAAGUUGUGCUGGAGAGACGUUGGCCAAAAUGGAACUCUUCUUGUUCUUCACCAAGUUACUGCAGAACUUCACAUUCCAAUCUCCUCCUGGAGUUGAGGUCCAACUGACCUGUGGAGUUGCAAUUACAUCCAUUCCUCUCGAGCAUGAGAUCUGUGCUUUGCCUCGUAACUAGAUACAUUUUUUACACAACUACAAUAUAUUCAAGUUUCUAAUUAAAGAAAACCUUGACUAAACUCACCAACUCUAAAGCUGCGAAUAUCAUAAGAUUUAUUAAACAAUAUGAAUAAAAAAAAGUUCAAGUGGAAAAUUGUUCUAAACUCUGCUCUAAAAAAUACAAAUACAUGUAUGGGAAUCACAAAAAUGAGGCUAUUGAUAAAUAGGCCUCCAAAAAUCCGAAUUGAUUAAAAAAGGUCCAAUAGGAUAAGGGCAGCUCCCCUUGAUUUCUAUAGGAGCGUGGCAACUUCAACUGGCCAAAUGUUUGUAUUGGAGGUUUUCGAGGUUUCUACACUUAACAAAUCUCUAAUUUUUUGUGGUUUAAAAAAAUAUAUAAAAACAAGACAUUUUUAGAUUCGUGAAAAAAAAAAUAGAAAUCUGAAUAUUAGUAAGUCGACCCCGUAGAAAACUGUUGUCUUAAGAGAAGGAUUAACAACAAACCUAUACCACCGAGUGUGGAGAGAAUAUUCCUUCAUUUGCUUGUGAUUUUAGAUAUUAGCCAUUAUAAGGAUGUAGCAUUUGUGUUUUUUUACUGCUGUAUAUAUAUUUUGUAUACUGUAUAAAUGUCAUAUAAAAUAAAAUGUAGUCCAAGCAUGUCAAUAAAAGGUUCUUAGACAAUUGAAGUUUACCGCACAAUUUGAAGGCCUGGACCAUUACUGAUAUAGAAAUGCUGAAACUUUAGGCUGAUGCAGUAAGUUCAUGAUAUAAAAUGAUAUUUGAACAGUAUCCCGUGUUUGAAAGAAACUCAGGUGUUUGAAACGUACUCCUGUCUGUGCAAGGCAGGUAAUUAUGUUGAGGAGAUACUUUGUGUGAGUUCACUUAAAUGGCAAAAUAUCAUAUAGUUAGAGUGAGUGACACUCCGCUGAACUAAAGUUCACAUACAGUUUGAAUACUUUCAUGCUCUUUCAGUAAAAUAUUUUGCUUCCA